GUGAACUUUGAGAGAUAAAAAAAAACAUGUUUAGUCCUGCAACAUGCUCAUGUGCCUGUCAGAAUUUGGUGUUCAUAUACGGUAAGUUCUUCUUAAUCUUUAAAAAUUUUUUCACAACUCUGUAAGACUUUGGAUGAUUUGCAACUUCACUUAUUGUAUAAUCAACAGUGUAUAGACCUGAAGAUUUCUGGUUUUUUUUAUGGGUUGCUGCCUCGAUGUUUACCCUGUACUCUUUUUUUCAUAAUGAUGAUCUAAUCAAAAAUUUAUUUCAUCCUGAUACUCACCAAUUAUGAUUAUAGAUUCUGUUCUUACCAUACUCUGGUAACCACAGAGAUAGCUGUCUUACUGUAUACAUUGCUUACUCUUCAAGGUCAUCCAAUACUGUUUUGCUCUCUAUCCUGUUGUUUGGUGCCUCUGAAA
rnacentral:lncRNA from 1 species